CCUACGGGAGGCAGCAGUGAGGAAUAUUGGUCAAUGGGCGAAAGCCUGAACCAGCCAAGUCGCGUGAAGGAUGACGGCCCUACGGGUUGUAAACUUCUUUUGUCAGGGAGCAAUUGGCUCCACGCGUGGGCGGAGCGAGAGUACCCGAAGAAAAAGCAUCGGCUAACUCCGUGCCAGCAGCCGCGGUAAUACGGAGGAUGCGAGCGUUAUCCGGUUUUAUUGGGGUUAAAGGGUGCGUAGGCGGAAUGUCCAGUCAGCGGUAAAAAGUCGGGGCUCAACCCCGUCCUGCCGUUGAAACUGGUGUUCUUGAGUGAGCGAGAAGUAUGCGGAAUGCGUGGUGUAGCGGUGAAAUGCAUAGAGAUCACGCAGAACUCCGAUUGCGAAGGCAGCAUACCGGCGCGCAACUGACGCUGAGGCACGAAAGCGUGGGGAUCGAACAGGAUUAGAUACCCGGGUAGUC
rnacentral:rRNA from 1 species